AUUCUACUCCCUCCGUUAAACAAUACAUGCCUUCUAUUUGUCAAAAUAUAUAUGUAUCUAGACAUGUCUUAGUAUAUAGGUACAUCCAUUUUUGGACAAAUGGAAGUCAAGUAUUUUGGAACGGAGGGAGUACACA
rfam:Triticum aestivum genome assembly, contig: Triticum_aestivum_CS42_TGACv1_scaffold_556455_7AL